rnacentral:rRNA from 1 species
AUGGUGGAAGGCUUAGAUAACGACAUCACGAACUUGAAGUUCCUCUUGCUCUACUUCCAGCAGAUGUCAGGUCUCGGGAUUAACUUUGAUAAAAGUGCAAUGAUGGUGUUGGGCUACUCCCAGGACGAACGCCAGAGCAUCAGGGACCACCUGAACUGUAAGCUCGGAUGCUUCCCCACGACUUAUUUGGGGAUCCCCAUUAGCGACUCCAGGCUCAUGAUGGCUGAGUUGCGCCCCACAGUGAACAAGCACCAACAUCGCAUUGAGCCUUGGCAGGGGAGAUGGCUAUCUAAGGCCGCUCGGACGAUGCUCAUUAACUCGUCCAUGUCUAGCAUGUUUCUGUUCAUUAUGAGCUUCUAUAGCCUGCCAGAGACGCUUCAUCAUGAGAUUGCUAGAGUCCAGAGCCGCUUCUUCUGGGCUGGUGAGGGCGAUAAGCAGAAGUACCACAUGGUUCGGUGGACUGAGAUCUGCAAGCCUCACGAAUAGGGUGGCCUCGGGAUCAUGUCCUCCAAACGCAUGAACAUUGCCCUACUGACUUGGUGGCUAUGGAGGAUUGUGAAUGGGAGGGUGGCCUUUGGCUCCGCAUCAUUCAACAAAAAUACCCUCACGGAUAGCCACUCGCCUUCUGCCAGCGCACCAGAGGGUCUCAGUUCUAGCAAUCCAUCAUAUAGUUACUACCAGUCCUUCGCCUCGGGAACUCGAUAG